UGUGUCAAGGGAUAGACACACGUCGCAAAGGACUGUGGCGAGGACAAUCGCAGGAUGCGAUUUCAUCAGGAUGAUGAAGGAUUGAAAGGGAGUAGGGACUAAAGAGUGGGCGGGUAAAACCGCCCCUUUUUUU
rfam:Vibrio sp. J237 Contig_13, whole genome shotgun sequence.